rnacentral:rRNA from 1 species
UACGUAGGGGGCAAGCGUUGUCCGGAUUUAUUGGGCGUAAAGAGCGCGUAGGCGGCCAGACAGGUCUGCUGUGAAAACUCGAGGCUCAACCUCGAGAUGUCGGCGGAAACCGUCUGGCUAGAGUCCGGAAGAGGAGAGUGGAAUUCCUGGUGUAGCGGUGAAAUGCGCAGAUAUCAGGAAGAACACCUAUGGCGAAGGCAGCUCUCUGGGACGGUGCUGACGCUGAGGCGCGAAAGCGUGGGGAGCGAACAGG